UACGUAGGGGGCCAGCGUUGCUCGGAAUUACUGGGCGUAAAGGGCGCGUAGGCGGGACGGCAAGUCGGUCGUGAAAUCCCUCGGCUCAACUGAGGGGGGUCGGCCGAUACUGCCGUUCUUGAGGGAUGCAGAGGAGACUGGAAUUCCCGGUGUAGCGGUGAAAUGUGUAGAGAUCGGGAGGAACACCGGUGGCGAAGGCGGGUCUCUGGGCAUUCCCUGACGCUGAGGCGCGAAAGCGUGGGGAGCAAACGGG
rnacentral:rRNA from 1 species